GACAGUGGAAGUCCCUGAGUUGCUGGUUCCCACUGCAGUCAUGCCGAAACAGGUGCAUGAAACAUCUCUCUCCGUUCGUUCGCUCAACGUCCCCUAAUUUGACAGCAGAAAACUCAACUUUCUUUACGUGACCACAGCCUUUUGAGAACACGUGCGCAUUGUUGCAGUCUGGGAUAAGCCCAUAUGAUUAUCAGAAGCUGUUACGUAAUCACGCUGAACCACUCCUCACGACUUUCAACAACUAAUGGAAGA